UCUUCUGGAAUGUAGUGGUCUUCUGGAAUGUGCCAGGAUUAGGGUUUGUUCUACAGGUGUGAUGUUUUCAUUUGACCAGUUUCUCACAGCAAUAAAUAAUCCUACAGCAACAGAAAAUGUGAAUUAUUAUGUGGAUUAUAAUUAAUUCGCUUUUUUGUAGGGAUUAAUCCUUUUUUUUGUGUAAGGGCAAAUCAUAUCUGUCAGUUUAAUAGGGUGGCAGGUAGCCUCGAGGUUAGAGAGUUGGGUCAGUAACCAAAAUAUUUCUGGUUUGAAUACCGGAGCCGACAAGGUGAAAUAAACAAAUCUGUUGCUGUGCCCUUGAGCAAGGCAUUGAACUCUAAGUGCUCCUGGCCAUGACUCUGCGGGUCUCUCAGAAGGUGUUGUGAUAUGAAAAAAAAACAUUUGCGUGUAACAGGACAAAUAUAAGCGGAAAUUACAAACUUUAGAAGCCUUUUUAAGCCUUGAAUACCCUACAACGUUCUCUGCGACAACAGUGAUCAAAUUAAGAUACGACAUCUGUACGUCAGCACCCUGUUCUCUUCUGCAGCUCCGUUGAACAACAAAAUAAAGAUUGUCAUCAGAGCUGUUAGUGGCAUGGAUCAGCCUGUAGCCUGUAGACAGAUGAGGUCUGUCUAGCUGACCUGGACCAGGGUUGGCAGAGCCUCUGAGAAGGCUGGGUGCCCUGUGAUAGGGGUGGGUGGCUGGGCCUGGCCAUAAGUUUGAGAUAGGGUGCUGGGGUGGGUAGCACUGUGAAAGCUGCUUCCUGUCUGGCCGACGGCCCAUUUCUUUGAUGUGUGGCGGUCCGACUCGGUCUCUGCCCGGGGGUCGUAGGGUCAGCAGAAGCAGGGCUUGGUUCGCAGCCUCCGAGGGGCCUCUAGUGUCAGCCAGCCCUGUCAUUUCAGUCAUUUCCUCUGCUUCCUGUUGUGGAUGGCUUGGCACAUCGCUACAAUCAACAGAUAUUUCCUGUUCCACUUCGGUCCGACUCUGACCAUCAACCAGAGACUAGCUCCGACAGGCGCGGUCAGAAUAGAACGGGAAAACCUGGUACAGGGCAUUGAGAAAGUAUUCAGACCCCUUUACAUUUUCCACAUUUUGUUUCGUUGCAACCUUACUCUAAAAUGUAUUAAAUAUCUAUCUAUCUAUCUACACACAAUACCCCAUAAUGACAAAGCGAAAACAUUUAAUUUUUAUUUUGUGCAAAUGUUUUAAAAAAAACAAAAAAACAGAUACCUUAUUUACAUGAGUAUUCAGACCCUUUGUGAUGAAACUCAAAAUUGAGUUCAGGUGCAUCCUGUUUCCAUUGAUCAUGCUUGGGAUGUCUCUACAACUUGAUUGGAGUCCACCUGUGGUAAAUUCAUUCACCUGUUUUUAAAAAUAAAAAAAAAUAUUUCACCUUUAUUUAACCAGGUAGGCAAGUUGAGAACAAGUUCUCAUUUACAAUUGCGACCUGGCCAAGACAAGCAAUCGAGGGGGAAGGGCCUUGGUCGGGGAGUUGACCAAGAACCCAAUGGUCACUCUGACAGAGCUCGAGUGACUCUGUGGAGAUGGGAGAACCUUCCAGAAGGAAACCCAUCUCUGCAGCACUCCAACAAUCAGGCCUUUAUUGUAAAUUGGCCAAAUGGAAGCCACUCCUCAGUAAAAGCACAUGACAGUCCACUUGGAGUUUGCCAAAAGGCACCCAAAGACUCUCAGAACAUGAGAAACAAGAUUCUCUGGUCUGAUGAAACCAAGAUUGAAGUCUUUGGCCCAUAUGCCAAGUGUCACGUCUGGAGGAAACCUGGCACCAUCCCCACAGUUUAGUAUGUUGGUGGCAGCAUCAUGCUGUGGGGAUGUUUUUCAUCAACAGGGACUGGGAGACUAGUCAGGAUAGAGGGAAGGAUGAAUGUAGAAAAGUACAGAGAGAUCCUUGAUGAAAACAUGCUCCAGCGCUCAGGACCUCAGACUGGGACGAAGGUUCACCUUCCAACAGGACAAUGACCUUAAGCACACAGCCAAGACAACUUAGGAGUGGCUUCGGGACAAGUCUCUGAAUGUCCUUGAGUGGCCCAGCCAGAGCCUGGACUUGAACCCAUUCGAACAUCUCUGGAGAGACCUGAAAGUAGCUGUGCAGAGACGCUCCCCAUCCAACCUGAUAGUGCUUGAGAGGAUCUGCAGAGAAGAAUGGGAGAAAUUCCCAAAUACAGGUAUGCCAAGCUUGUAGCGUCAAACCCAAGAAGUCACUUGAAAUUUGGCUUGGCACAUAAAACCCUCACAAACUUUUACAGAUGCACAAUUGAAAGCAUCCUGUCGGGCUGUAUCACCGCCUGGUACAUGUAUAUACUAUAUUCUAUUCUAUUCUACUGUAUCUUAGGCUGUGCAACACUGACAUUUCUCGUCCAUAUAUUUCUAUAUUCUUAGCUGCAUUCCUUCACUUAGAUUUGUGUGUGUUGUGUGUAUUGUUGUGAAAUUGUUAGAUAUUACUUGUUAGAUAUUACUGCACUGUUGGAGCUAGAAACACAAGCAUUUUGCUACACCUGCAGUAACAUCUGCUAAACAUGUGUAUGUGACCAAUACAAUUUGCUUUGAUUUGAUUCAAGGCUGUAAUCGCUGCCAAAGAUGCUUCAACCAAGUACUGAGUAAAGGGUCUGAAUACUUACGACAAUGUGAUAUUACAUUUUUUUCUCUCAAAUAAAUGUGCAAAAAUGUCUAAAAACCUGUUUUUGCUUCGUCAUUAUUGUGUUUAGAUUGAUGGGGGGGGGGGAACAAUUUUAAAAUAAGGCUGUAAAGUAACAAAAAUGUGGAAAAAGUCAUGGGGUCUGAAUACAUUCCGAAUGCACUGUAUAUAUAUAUAUAAUCGCAUAUGACAAUGGUGUGAAGAAAAUAAUAAUUGAUCGUGUCAGACGAAUGUGAACGUCUAAUUUCACGUUGGGUUAACGUUAAUUUCAUUAACACGACAUGGAAACAACGUUGAUUCAACCAGUGUGUGGCCAGUAUGCGCAUCUCCUCACCACAGGUGUUGCCACCAAACUGACUUGUAGUGGCUAUAAAUCACUACCUGAUGGCCCAGUACACAUAAAAACAUUUGCUUCUCUUAGAUGUUCAAAAUGAGAAAGGACAGUUCGGUGCGUUUCCAUCACAUUUCUCUAACUCUACCGAUAGUUUGGUGACUAAAACUGUUGUGUUAAUAACCAAAUGUGCCCACUCUGGUCUCUGGUCUUGGCAGGUGCCCACUCCGGUCUUGGCAGGUGUCCACUCCGGUCUUGGCAGGUGCCUACUCCGGUCUUGGCAGGUGUCCACUCCGGUCUUGGCAGGUGCCUACUCCGGUCUUGGCAGGUGUCCACUCCGGUCUUGGCAGGUGUCCACUCCGGUCUUGGCAGGUGUCCACUCCGGUCU